GGAGCUCGCGCCGUGCACGUGACCCUCAUUAGCCUUCGCUUUAAGUGCGACCGAGGCUAAAUCCACAAACUCCUCUUCAAUAAAGACUGACAAGCUCAUGAUGAGGUGUCCAGAUUCUUUUGGCCUUAGAGUGUUCCGGUCUCUUUCCAUCUCCAAAAUACGUGCAGAAGGUGGAUUGUCUGCAGUUUCUGCGUGUGAUACGCUGGAGCACGACCAGAAACGGGCCGGAUUGCUCCUGCGGGACCCGGAUUUGAAGAAGACUUGGCAACCCAGGAGAAAUAACAGGUCAGCAGUGCUUGGCAAUGGCCUACUCAUUCGGGGGCGAUAAAAAAGAAUUUCCUCCUGAAAAAGCUGCACGAGGGAACGCUUUUGGACUGGACGCAAAGAAUAUGAGGCACGCAGCAGGAAUGCGUACAUAAUUGUGAAUAAACGACUUAAAUGUCAAAGA